rnacentral:ncRNA from 1 species
CUCUUGAUCCGAGAGGUUUCGGGAUGGAGGUGCGGAAGUCAGCCGAGGCCAUAGUAGCUUUUACGCACGAGGGUGAAGGGC